rnacentral:rRNA from 1 species
UGGGGAAUAUUGCACAAUGGGGGAAACCCUGAUGCAGCGACGCCGCGUGAAGGAAGAAGUAUCUCGGUAUGUAAACUUCUAUCAGCAGGGAAGAUAAUGACGGUACCUGACUAAGAAGCCCCGGCUAACUACGUGCCAGCAGCCGCGGUAAUACGUAGGGGGCAAGCGUUAUCCGGAUUUACUGGGUGUAAAGGGAGCGUAGACGGUGUGGCAAGUCUGAUGUGAAAGGCAUGGGCUCAACCCGUGGACUGCAUUGGAAACUGUCAUACUUGAGUGCCGGAGGGGUAAGCGGAAUUCCUAGUGUAGCGGUGAAAUGCGUAGAUAUUAGGAGGAACACCAGUGGCGAAGGCGGCUUACUGGACGGUAACUGACGUUGAGGCUCGAAAGCGUGGGGAGCAAACAGGA